CUAUCACUUGAUCUUUGGGAGUGAGGGCAUGGGUGCUAAGGUCCAUGUCCGAAAGAGGAACAACUCAGACCACCAGCUAAGGUCCCGAAAUAAGGGCUAAGUUGAAUAAACGAAGUAAAACUGCAAAGACAGCUAGGAUGUUGGCUUGGAAGCAGCCAUUCAUUUAAAGAGUGCGUAACAGCUCACUAGUCGAGGAGUCUUGCAUGGAUAAUAAUCGGGCAUAAGCCCUUUACCGAAGCUGUGGAUGUCGUAAGACAUGGUAGGGGAGCAUUCCGGCGGCGACGAAGGCCGUCCUCGAGGACGACUGGAGCUUUCGGAAAAGCAAAUGUAGGUAUAAGUAACGAUAAAGGGGGCGUGAAACCCCCUCGCCGAAAGACUAAGGUUUCCUGAUCAACGCUAAUCGGAUCAGGGUAAGUCGGGCCCUAAGGCGCAGCCGAACGGCGUAGCCGAUGGAAGAAACGGUAAAGAUUCCGUUACUGGAUAUAGGAGCGAUGUGGAGACGGAGAAGUGACACACCCGCCUGCCGACGGAAGCGCAGGUUAAAGGAAGUAGGUAAACGCCGGGUAGGCAAAUCCGCCUGGCGUGCCGAAACUGACAGUAUCGAGAGCCCCCGGGCAAUCGAAUAGCGGUGGUAAUCAGGCUCCCAAGAAAAUCCGCUAAGCAUAUUCUAUAUCCACCCGUACCCCAAACGGACACACGUAGUCGGGUAGAAUAUACCAAGGCGCUCGAAAGACUCACGGUUAAGGAACUAGGCAAAUUGACCCUGUAACCUCGGGAAAAAGGGUCCCCAGUAAGAUGGGGCGCAGAGAAUAGGUCCAGGCAACUGUUUAACAAAAACACAGGGCUGUGCGAAAUUUCAAGAUGAAGUAUACAGCCUGACACCUGCCCGGUGCCGGAAGGUUAAGAGGAGAGCUAAUCGCAAGAGAAGGCUUGAAUUGAAGCCCCGGUAAACGGCGGCCGUAACUAUAACGGUCCUAAGGUAGCGAAAUUCCUUGUCGGGUAAGUUCCGACCUGCACGAAUGGUGUAAUGAUCUGGACACUGUCUCAACCGUGACUUCGGUGAAAUUGUAGUAUCGGUGAAGAUGCCGAUUACCCGCAACGGGACGAAAAGACCCCGUGAACCUUUACUGCAGCUUAGCAUUGCGUUUGGGCAUUUGAUGUGUAGGAUAGUCCGGAGGCUACGAGUCGGCGACGCCAGUCGUCGAGGAGCCGCUGUUGAAAUACGGACC
rnacentral:rRNA from 1 species